rnacentral:lncRNA from 1 species
AGUCCAUCCAUUGCACUCUUUGGUGCAUGACUCUGGUCCCAGAACCAGGUUUCUGGAGAGGUGCUGAACUCAUUCCACCUUGGAGUUGGAAACUAUACGUCUGUGCCCUAGGAUGAAGGUUUCUUCAGUGAACAAGAGGGUUUAUUUGAUUCGGGGAAUUUUAACAUUUUAAAGAGCAGAGUCCUUUUUGAAAUCUUUGUUGGGCACCACACAUGGGCAAUGACAGUAAAGCCUGGGGGCUUUGUUUGAGAGGAGUAGCUGGCUUGUUGCUAGCACUGAUGAACCAUCACCUAAGAGAAAAGUAGUGACUGAAAGAAGAUCACAGACACAAACAGUCUAAAUAAGCUUCCUCCAAAUGACGUUGGCCACUCCUUUGCAUUGAAAGGAGCCGUUUCCAGUGAUUCUUGCACACCUCUAGGUGAGAUGUUUCAAGCAUCUCCAGCCGAGCUGACACUGAAGGGUAGUCCCAGGACACACUGGAGGGGUUAUAGCUCUCAGCUAUCUCAGGAAUGCUUCGUUUACCUUGAUUUGAAAUCACUACCAGGGUGUUUAAUAUGACCGCUUCUUUCACUCACUUUUAGAUUUGAGCAGUACUUUCCCUAAAGUGAACAGUUUCUGGAAACUUUAGUAGCCUAAAUAACAACUAACUGAACAAUGUAUUUGUGUCUUUCCAUAUAGCACACUGGUGUCACUGAUUCGAAAGAGAAGAGGCAUCAGAACCGACAUCCCGCUGGUGGAACAGGACUCUGCCAAGACACCAGAAGUGGAUGUCAGGCAGCAGGCAGUGGAGGAAAUGAUGCAAAGGAUUAAGAAAGGUGUUCAGCUUCGACCUGUGAACCAGUCACCUAACAGGACCAGGAAACAGAUGGAGAAGCUGCCCUCUAAUUCUGCUAUUCAGGAACUUAAAGGAAUCAUGGAGAAUUUUAACAGAACUGUACAACAACCAAAGGCAGCGUCUCCGACAACGACCCGAGACGACGAGCUGCAGAGGAUUCUGCUGAGGCGGCGGGACGCGCUGGACGCCUAACACAAAGGUCAGCGUCCUCGUCUCUCCCCGCAGUGUGAUGCCACCUGAGCUCAGGCCUCACCUGAGUAUCCAUGUGUACAGAGGAUGCGAGUGACUGAAGACUAAUAUGGAGUGUUAUUACCCAGCCUUUUGUUCUAUUACAUUAGUAUACACUUAAUAACCUCUGACUGUAUUAAUGAGAAUACAGUCAGAUGGAUUCCUGGUGGGUUUCACCGUCAGAGGCAAAGUCAGACAUGUUCCUGUUGCAUCAGUAAUUCCCACUGGACUGUUUGAUUCCAGUAAAAUAAAGGCAUGUAUCAUACACCACCUGGGUGCAGUUCAUUCAGCUCCUUUUGUAAAAUACCACUUCAUCGUUAUGCACAGUGACACUACAGUCGCCUCACAGCCUCGAGCUUUUGCUUUUCUCUGAAUUGUUCCAUGUAGACCAGUGUUAAACUUGUAGCCUCCCAGUAAGCAAUCACAGUGAUAGAUUUAGUUUUCAAUGGUUCUCCUCACUCACUCAGACAUAUUUUAUUUGGGGGAACAACUCCUGUUUUCUGUGUGCACCCUCACUCGACUUGUUGACCCUUAAGAUCAGCUUAUGGUCACUUCACUUCUUUAAAACACAACUCCAGGAAUUUAUUUGACAUUAUUUGAAGAGUGUGUUUGAUGUCCAGUUUGUAAAUUAUGGCCUCCUUACAGUCAUAAAGGAGGAUACAGCAGAUUACGCAGUCUGCAGUGUCUCUGAUUCUCAGUCAUUCAGUGUUUCACACGGUGGAGUGAAAAUGCUCAGCGCGAGCCUCACAGUAACCAAAGUGUCAUAUCAGUGGAUACAGCCAUCGUUUACUUACAGUUUGCAUUUUUGUGGGGGAUUUAAAAAAAACAAAACAAUCAACAACCCCAUCGUACGGUUAAGGUUCGAACUUAUUGAACAUAUUUAGGGAUCAGUUUGAAUGAAAGUGUUUUACAAUCAGAUAAAAAUGUGUUCCAGUGUUUUUCAUUUGGUCUUCACUAAGCAGCUCUUUAAUGCUCUUGGGAUUAAUAUUCACUGAUUUCCCUUUAAACUUUAUUUGAUCUCUUAUUGUACAAACCAUGUAUAAGAUCACUUUUUUUUUAAAAAACCCACAAAUAAGUUAAUGUGUUAUAUCCUGGUUUAUUUGAAUACACGUUUUGCUGUUAAAAAAGCAAAGUACCAUUUUUUUUAUUUGUCAGUGGGAAACAUGGUUUAUUUAAGCUUGUAGCGUUUUCACAGCCAGAGAGGCUCCAAAGAGCGUGAAACACAGGACGAGCCUGAGUCGUACCACC